ACGUAGGGGGCAAGCGUUAUCCGGAUUUACUGGGUGUAAAGGGAGCGUAGACGGCAGAGAAAGUCUGAAGUGAAAGCCCGCGGCUCAACCGCGGAACUGCUUUGGAAACUUUUCGGCUAGAGUACCGGAGAGGUAAGCGGAAUUCCUAGUGUAGCGGUGAAAUGCGUAGAUAUUAGGAGGAACACCAGUGGCGAAGGCGGCUUACUGGACGGUAACUGACGUUGAGGCUCGAAAGCGUGGGGAGCAAA
rnacentral:rRNA from 1 species